UGGGGAAUAUUGCACAAUGGGCGCAAGCCUGAUGCAGCCAUGCCGCGUGUGUGAAGAAGGCCUUCGGGUUGUAAAGCACUUUCAGCGAGGAGGAAGGGUGGUGUGUUAAUAGCACAUCACAUUGACGUUACUCGCAGAAGAAGCACCGGCUAACUCCGUGCCAGCAGCCGCGGUAAUACGGAGGGUGCAAGCGUUAAUCGGAAUUACUGGGCGUAAAGCGCACGCAGGCGGUUUGUUAAGUCAGAUGUGAAAUCCCCGCGCUUAACGUGGGAACUGCAUUUGAAACUGGCAAGCUAGAGUCUUGUAGAGGGGGGUAGAAUUCCAGGUGUAGCGGUGAAAUGCGUAGAGAUCUGGAGGAAUACCGGUGGCGAAGGCGGCCCCCUGGACAAAGACUGACGCUCAGGUGCGAAAGCGUGGGGAGCAAACA
rnacentral:rRNA from 1 species